rnacentral:sRNA from 1 species
AAAGCUUGGCACAUACUUAUCUUUGCAGUUACCUAAAACAGGCCAGUCAUUUCAGGGUCCCCAGACUUAGUUCUCUAAUGAACUCUCUUCAAUCACAGAAUUCCCCCUCCUUACCUUAUACUCUUGCUUCAAGAUGCCUCCUAUCUUAGUCUGUUUGGUGAUGAUGCAACAGAAUACUACAGAUUGGGUAAUUAUAAUGAACAGAAAUUGUUUUGGCUCAUGGUUCUGGAGGCUGGGAAGUCCAGUAUCAAGGCACCAGCAUCUGACAAGGGUCAUCCCAUCGUGGAAAGUGGGAGGACAAGAGCAAGCAAGAGAGGGUCAAACUUGCUUUUAUAACAAACUCACUCUUUUUUUUUUUUUUUUUUUGAGACGGAGUCUUGCUCUGUUGCCCAGGCUGGAGUGCAGUGGCACGAUCUCGGCUCAUUGCAACCUCUGCCUCCUGGGUUCAAGCGAUUCUCCUGCCUCAGCCUCCUGAGUAGCUGGGACUACAGGCAUAUGCCACCAGGCCCAGCUAAUUUUUGUAUUUUUAGUAGAGAUGGGGUUUCACCAUGUUGGUGAAGCUGGUCUUGAACUCCUGACCUUGUGAUCUGCCCACCUUGGCCUCCCAAAGUGCUGGGAUUACAGGCGUGAGCCACCACAUCCGGCCAGCAGACUCACUCUUAAAAUAACGAACCCAUCCCCGAGAUCCAUUAGUCCAUUCAUGGGGAUGGAGCCCUCAUGAUCUAAUUACCUCUUAUUAGGCCUUACCUACCAACACUUGCUGCAUUGGGGAUUAAGUUUCUGUAUCAGUCCAUUUUCAUACUGCUAUGAAGAAAUACAUGAGACUGGUUAGUUUAUAAAGAAAAAGAGGUUUAAUGGACUCACAGUUCCACAUGGCUGGGGAGGUUUCACAAUCAUGGCGGAAGGUGAAGGAGGAACAAAGGCAUGUCUUACAUGGCAUCAGGCAAGAGUGUGUGUCCAGGGAAACUGCCCUUUAUAAAACCAUCAGCUCUCGUGAGACUUAAUUCAUCAUAGGAGGGGCAUGGGAAAGACCUGCCCCCAUAAUUCAAUUACCUCCCACCCGGUCCUUCCCACAACACAUGGGGAUUAUGGGAGCUACAAAUCAAGAUGAGAUUUGGACACAGCCAAACCAUACCAGUUUCCAACAUAUGAAUUUUGGGGGACACAUUUAAAUCAGAGGACCUCCUCAAAUGCCUCUCUUAGUACUGUUCUAAUCUGUAACAUCCAGCCUGGCCUUCAUUUUUAUGUAGUUGUGUGUGCUGAUUUUGCAUGUGCUUAUAUCAGCAGCCCCCUAGGGAAGGUCUAGGGAGCCUUGCUUGUCUAUGAUAAAUCAUUGGUUGGUUUUAAUGGUUUAAAUAGUCUUAGUUGGUUCAUCCUGUGGAACUACACAUGUAUUCCUUUGAUCCUAGUACUGGUCUCUGGGCUUAAUGUACAUUGGUUUAAAAAUACAUUAAUGAAAUGACUCAAAUUUGGGUGUUUUCAAUACCUUCCCUUAGUCCUGAGAAGAGGACUGUUUAAGAGCAAGAUAUGAGUUCAGAAAUUCCAUUUUCCAUUUUCUGAUUCUAUUUAUUUCCCCCAUUUCCACCCCUUAAUAGCUUCUACCCUCCUCAUCUUUGGAAGUUGUCCCAGAAGCAGCCCAGAACAAUCCAGGGGAGGAAGUCACAGAAACUGCAGGUGAAGGGUCAGAAUCCAUCAUUAAGAAAGAAACAGAAGAGAACAGUCACUGUGAUGCUAACACAGAGAUGCAGCAGAUUCUCACACGAGUUCGGCAGAACUUUGGUAAAAUCAACGUGGUGCCUCAGUUUUCUGGGGAUGACCUGGUUCCUGUGGAGGUGUCAGAUCUUGAGGAAGAACUUGAGAGCUUUUCUGAUGAAGAGGAGGAGGAACAGGAGCAACAAAGAGAUGAUGCGGAAGAGUCUUCCUCGGAGCCUGAGGAGGAACAUGUGGGAAACGACACCAAAGCCGUUAUUAAAGCACUGGAUGAGAAGAUUGCCAAAUAUCAGAAGUUUCUAGACAAAGCCAAAGCCAAAAAGUUUUCAGCAGUCAGAAUAUCCAAGGGACUGAGUGAAAAGAUAUUUGCAAAACCUGAAGAACAAAGAAAAACACUGGAAGAAGAUGUAGAUGACAGAGCACCUUCCAAAAAGGGAAAGAAGCGGAAGGCACAAAGGGAAGAGGAACAGGAACAUUCAAAUAAAGCUCCCAGGGCGCUUACAUCAAAAGAACGGAGGCGAGCAGUACGACAGCAACGGCCGAAAAAAGUUGGUGUGCGCUACUAUGAAACACACAACGUGAAAAAUAGGAACAGGAACAAAAAGAAGACCAAUGACUCAGAGGGACAGGAACACAAACACAAAAAAUUCAGACAAAAGCAGUAAUGUUUAAAAGGUUUUAUUAAAUUAUACAAAAACAUGC